UACGUAGGGUCCGAGCGUUGUCCGGAAUUACUGGGCGUAAAGAGCUCGUAGGUGGUUUGUCGCGUUGUCCGUGAAAACUCACAGCUCAACUGUGGGCGUGCGGGCGAUACGGGCAGGCUAGAGUUCGGUAGGGGAGACUGGAAUUCCUGGUGUAGCGGUGAAAUGCGUAGAGCUCGGGAAGAACAUCGGUGGCGAAAGCGCUCUACUGGACUGCAACUGACACUCAGGGACGAAAGCUAGGGGAGCGAAUGGG
rnacentral:rRNA from 1 species